rnacentral:rRNA from 1 species
UACGUAGGGUGCAAGCGUUGUCCGGAUUUAUUGGGCGUAAAGAGCUCGUAGGCGGUUUGUCGCGUCGGAUGUGAAAACCCGGGGCUCAACCCCGGGCCUGCAUUCGAUACGGGCAGACUAGAGUUCGGUAGGGGAGUCUGGAAUUCCUGGUGUAGCGGUGAAAUGCGCAGAUAUCAGGAGGAACACCGGUGGCGAAGGCGGGACUCUGGGCCGAUACUGACGCUGAGGAGCGAAAGCGUGGGGAGCAAACAGG